UUUUUUUUUUUUUUUUUUGUAAAACAAAACAAGCCUUAGUCUUAGAUUGGUAAAUUUCUUCAUUGCAUUGUUUGAAAAUAUAAAAUAAAAUAAAAUUUACAAAAAUAUGCGGGAUGGACGGUAACGGUAUCGUCUCAUAGUGCCGUUAGCCGAAACGUUUGGUUUCUUCAUUUACUCGGCCGGCAUGGAUCCCAGCCGCCAAGAAUAAUCCGAAUAAUCGGACGAAUCGAAACAUACAUUCGAAUAGUCGAACAAUCCGUCAUCAAACGCCGCGUACUCGGUGUUAUAAUUUUCAAUGAUUCCCAAUUCGAACGAGUCAUAACUCGGGAUCUGAUCCUCAAACCCCCAUAAUCCAUCAUUUCCACCUGAGUCCACUCGCACCAGCUCCUUUACUUCAUUUCUAGCCUCCUCCCCAGAAGACGUUGCAGAUGGAGGUAACCCAAGCUCAUCAUCUGAAGCUUCAAGAAGGUACCCAAGUUCAGGCUGGGACUCACCGGAAUCCAACGUCAGGUCGACAACGACUGGCGAAGAGGAGGCAGAUAUCUCCUCUUCAAAACUCUUCAUAACAGAGUCUAGAUCCUGAGUCGUCGCGUCAGGAUCCGACUCGUCUAGAAUAUCCAAUAAAUCAUCCCUUAUUUUCUUCGCCUCAGGCAAAUCAAACUCAGCCUCGACCUCGUCCUCCCUGACACGCUUCUUGUUGCUAUGCUCCUCCAUAGCAAUAUAACAGAGAAACCUUUACACAGCAAAGUAGGGCUAGGGCUUUGAUUUUCUUGCAGUACUUGGGGAAUAAUAUGUUCUUCGGUUGUG
rnacentral:misc_RNA from 1 species